AGCAGGGGACCUUCGGGCCUUGCGCUAUCAGAUGAGCCUAGGUCGGAUUAGCUAGUUGGUGGGGUAAUGGCUCACCAAGGCGACGAUCCGUAACUGGUCUGAGAGGAUGAUCAGUCACACUGGAACUGAGACACGGUCCAGACUCCUACGGGAGGCAGCAGUGGGGAAUAUUGGACAAUGGGCGAAAGCCUGAUCCAGCCAUGCCGCGUGUGUGAAGAAGGUCUUCGGAUUGUAAAGCACUUUAAGUUGGGAGGAAGGGCAGUAAAUUAAUACUUUGCUGUUUUGACGUUAC
rnacentral:rRNA from 1 species